UCUUCAUUGGUUAUCUCGAAUUACUGAGUGAUUUCGAACAUCAACGAAGCCCCUGCAACUGAUCUCGCACACUUACUGGAUUGAUGACCCUAAGGGUUAUUGACAGGAUAUAUUCAUUUCGAUUAUUCUCUUAUGGAUAUUGCAUUUUACAGAGAAAUGGAUGCACAACAACGGAUGUGUAGCUGUGGAGAGGUGAUGGUCAUCCGAACUUCUCAAAUGGCGAGGAAUCCUGGAUGAAGAUUUUACAGAUGUCCGGUAGGCGGAAAACAUCCGGGAUGUUUUAUUUGGUUGGACCCAGUAUUGUGGAAUUAUACUGAGACUGUAGACACAGGAACAUGUUAUUCAACAGAAAGUGUUAAUAGGAACACACGGGUCAUCUCGGCUAUUCGUCAACCCUCCUAUAGUCCACAAGUGCGGAAACAAAUACCAGUGGACUAGUCGUUGCUCAACCAUUAUUAUGGUUUAACCAUCUUCCUAUGUAUUUGGGUGUUAAUUCUCUCGUGCUAUGUCUUUUAUGUAACGGCCUUGUAAAUAGUACUAAAGUCUAUUUCAUAUUAUGUAUGGAGUAAAUACAAGAUCAAGACUUUAUGUAAGACUUCAUAAUUUUUUUUU